rnacentral:rRNA from 1 species
AGAGUUUGAUCCUGGCUCAGAUUGAACGCUGGCGGCAGGCCUAACACAUGCAAGUCGAGCGGCAGCACAGAGAAACUUGUUUCUCGGGUGGCGAGCGGCGGACGGGUGAGUAAUGCCUGGGAAAUUGCCCUGAUGUGGGGGAUAACCAUUGGAAACGAUGGCUAAUACCGCAUGAUAGCUUCGGCUCAAAGAGGGGGACCUUCGGGCCUCUCGCGUCAGGAUAUGCCCAGGUGGGAUUAGCUAGUUGGUGAGGUAAGGGCUCACCAAGGCGACGAUCCCUAGCUGGUCUGAGAGGAUGAUCAGCCACACUGGAACUGAGACACGGUCCAGACUCCUACGGGAGGCAGCAGUGGGGAAUAUUGCACAAUGGGCGCAAGCCUGAUGCAGCCAUGCCGCGUGUGUGAAGAAGGCCUUCGGGUUGUAAAGCACUUUCAGUCGUGAGGAAGGUGGUAGUGUUAAUAGCACUAUCAUUGACGUAGCGACAGAGAGACCGACGGAAC